CCUACGGGAGGCAGCAGUGGGGAAUAUUGGGCAAUGGGCGCAAGCCUGACCCAGCAACGCCGCGUGAUGGAAGAAGGCCUUCGGGUUGUAAACUUCUUUUCUGAGGGACGAAGAAAGUGACGGUACCUCAGGAAUAAGCCACGGCGAAAUACGUGCCAGCAGCCGCGGUAACACGUAGGUAGCAAGCGUUACCCGGAUUUAUUGGGUGGAAAGGGCGUGUAGGCGGGAAUGCAAGUCAGAUGUGAAAACUCAGGGUUCAACCCUGGGCCUGCAUUUGAAACUGUUGUUCUUGAGUGCUGGAGAGGCAAUCGGAAUUCCGGGUGUAGCGGUGAAAUGCGUAGAUAUACGGAGGAACACCAGUGGCGAAGGCGGAUUGCUGGACAAUAACUGACGCUGAGGCACGAAAGCGUGGGGAGCAAACAGGAUUAGAUACCCGUGUAGUC
rnacentral:rRNA from 1 species